rnacentral:rRNA from 1 species
CUCACAACGCCUUGCUUAACCACACCCCCACGGGAGACAGCAGUAACAAAAAUUAAGCCAUAAACGAAAGUUUGACUAAGCCAUAUUGACUAGGGUUGGUAAAUCUCGUGCCAGCCACCGCGGUCAUACGAUUGACCCAAGCUAACAGGAGUACGGCGUAAAGCGUGUUAAAGCAUCAUACUAAAUAGAGUUAAAUUUUAAUUAAACUGUAAAAAGCCAUAAUUAUAACAAAAAUAAAUGACGAAAGUAACCCUACAAUAGCUGAUACACCAUAGCUAAGACCCAAACUGGGAUUAGAUACCCCACUAUGCUUAGCCCUAAACACAAAUAAUUAUAAGAACAAAAUUAUUCGCCAGAGUACUACCGGCAACAGCCCGAAACUCAAAGGACUUGGCGGUGCUUUAUACCCUUCUAGAGGAGCCUGUUCUAUAAUCGAUAAACCCCGAUAAACCUCACCAAUCCUUGCUAAUACAGUCUAUAUACCGCCAUCUUCAGCAAACCCUAAAAAAGGGACAAAAGUAAGCUCAAUAAUAACACAUAAAGACGUUAGGUCAAGGUGUAACCUAUGGAGUGGGAAGAAAUGGGCUACAUUUUCUACCCAAGAAAAUUUAAUACGAAAGCCAUUAUGAAAUUAAUAGCCAAAGGAGGAUUUAGCAGUAAACUAAGAAUAGAGUGCUUAGUUGAAUCAGGCCAUGAAGCACGCACACACCGCCCGU